rnacentral:tRNA from 2 species
GGGCCUGUGGCGCAGCUGGUAGCGCACCUCGUUCGCAACGAGGGGGUCAGGGGUUCGAGUCCCCUCAGGUCCACC